GUUUCAACCCAUUUAAUUUCUAAGGGGGUUGUGACUUUGUGAUCUUGGCAGCACAGAGAAGCUGCCGAUCAGCGACGUUUCCCUUGACAACGUGGGAGCGUAGUGACUCCUCCUGAGAUAAACAGAAAGGAUUAAUCUCGACAAAGCGACUCUCUGAGAGGCUGGGAACCACAGAGGAGGAAGAGGGGAGUAAUACAAUUAUUUUUGUGCUUUAUGAAUAAUUUGUAGCCGGAAUAAGUAAAAUUACACACAGCAAGCAGCACUCGCAGUACAUUUUCCUCUCUGCCCCCGAGGGAGUUAAACUGUAAAUGCAGUGAAAAAAAGCAGUAAGAGUAAAAUUAGUUUAUAGAGAGUUGUAUCUCGAAGAACAAUAUGCUCCUGUGUGUCUGCCCCUUCUCACGGGAUAUGGCCCAUCGACUGGAGAUCGCAGAUGUCCUCCUGUUGGUAUUUGUGGUUUGCAGCACGCCGAAAAUGGGAAUAUUUCAGAUUUGUUAGCUGGUUUUACCGUGAGUAGUAUUUUCCUUGUUGGAAACAGCCUGCCUGAACGAUCCAGCCUUCUCAAGUUUGUGCACCACCUGGUGCAGAAAUGCAGGAAGAAAGAAAGAAAAAAAGCUGAAUGGAUGUGAAAAGUUUAUGAAUAUGCAGAGCUUUGGCACAGAAAAUCAUCUUCCUUCCAGCAGAGCAUUUUCCAUCUCUUUAUUAGUGUGGGAGCUUCCAAGGCCUCGUCUGUAAGGAGCUGCUCCUUUCUGCUUUCCACGGGAUCAUGCAGGAGGGUUGGGGUGUGCAGGGAUCUCCAGAGACCCCCGGCCCAGCCCCUGCUCCAGCAGGGCCACCCAGAGCAGGGUGCCCAGCACCACGGCCAGGCGGUGCUGAAGGUCCCCAAGGAGGACACCCCACCGCCUCGCUGGGCAGCCUGGGCCAGGGCCCCAGCACCCCCAUGUUAAUAUAGUGCUUUGUGAUGUUUGGACGGAGCCUCUUGGGUUCCAGUUUGUGCCCACAGCCUCUUGUCCUGGCACUGGGCAGAGCCUGGCCCUGUCCUCCCAGCACUGGCAGGCCCUGGUGGGAUCCCCCUGGGCCUCCUCUCCUCCAGGCAGAGCAGCCCCAGCUCUCAGCCCUCCUCACAGGAGAGGUGCUCCAGCCUCUUCACCAUCUUCCUAGCCCUUCACUGGACUCCCUUGACUAUGUCCAGGUCUCCCCUGUACCAGGGAGCCCAGGACUGGGCACAGCACUGCGGGAUGGGCCUCACAUUGUGGCCUGUGCCAGGGAGCAGGUUUCCUAGCAGGCAGCGAUGCCCAGCUGCAGCUGGUGCAGGUGAAAGCUGGGGACUGUCGGGUUUGUCAGAAAUACACCUUCAGACACUAUUUGUGUGGGUUUGGAGGUCCCCAGAACCUAACCUGCUGUUUUACUGAAAUGUUUCCACCAGACUUGCCAGGGAUGCAGACACAGGGCAGGAGGGCACAGCGUUACGUGAGAGAGCUUUUGCAUUUGGGUGGACACAUCCUUCUGGCAAGGGAAAACCAUCCAGAGGAGAAAUCAUUCACUGUUCCACCAGAUUACUCAUCUCAGGUUCAGUUUUUAAGUGCUAAACAUAGACUUAAUGCAGCGGAAGACACAAACUGGGUUCUUCUGCAACCUGAGAAGAGGGAGAAGAUACGGCACAAGGCCCUUCAGAAGAAUCAUGGCAGAUGAAAGUGCAAUUCAUACAAGUGGUGCACAUGAAGAUCACGUGGAAGAAAUGAUUCUCAGAAAGACAUGAGUGAAGGCAGAGAUGCUCACAGCUCUCUGAAGAAGGUGCGCCCUAUUGCCCUUGGUAUGCAGUAAUGUGGAGGCUCUUAGCAUGAUUUAAAUAAGAGUGGGCUCACAUCAUAU